rnacentral:rRNA from 1 species
CCUACGGGAGGCAGCAGUAGGGAAUCUUGGACAAUGGGCGCAAGCCUGAUCCAGCCAUGCCGCGUGAGUGAAGAAGGCCUUAGGGUCGUAAAGCUCUUUCGCCUGUGAUGAUAAUGACAGUAGCAGGUAAAGAAACCCCGGCUAACUCCGUGCCAGCAGCCGCGGUAAU